AAAUUAUCGUCAAGAUUUGGUAAUACUAUUGCAACGUCUCGACACGACAGUAUGUUCUUACUAGUACUAAUAUGACAGAUUGAAUGAAAAAUAAUUUUGUCGUUGUGAGUACGACGGAUAGCAUAUCAGCUCUGAGUCAUUGAAAUUUUAAGUACACAUGUAUUUAAGUAUUGGUUGCUUUUGCCACCACGCAAUGAAAAGCAAUUGUUUCGUGAAUAUU
rnacentral:lncRNA from 1 species